rnacentral:rRNA from 1 species
UACGUAGGGGGCAAGCGUUAUCCGGAUUUACUGGGUGUAAAGGGAGCGCAGGCGGUCCGGCAAGUCUGAUGUGAAAGCCCGGGGCUUAACCCCGGGACUGCAUUGGAAACUGUCGGACUUGAGUGUCGGAGGGGUAAGUGGAAUUCCUAGUGUAGCGGUGAAAUGCGUAGAUAUUAGGAGGAACACCAGUGGCGAAGGCGGCUUACUGGACGACAACUGACGCUGAGGCUCGAAAGCGUGGGGAGCAAACAGG